CGGUGGGCGCGCUGAGGGACGUGAAAAGACGGACCCGGGGGCUGUCAGGGCGGGGCCCAACACGCCUAGACGACGCCCCAGCCCUCUCGACACCGCCCUCCGUCCCUGGGCUCCACCCUCCGCCCCCUCCGGGUCCUGGACCCGGCCGGAGGCCCCGUUCCCCGAGACCUGGGGACGGGGAGGGGGUCUACCCAUUCUUCCGCGGAGAGGUGUGGCCCCCUGGGAGGGAGUCCUGCUCAAGCACAUCCUUGCUCCAGGACCACCUGUGGUUGGGAUCAUCAGCUGUGCCUGCCUGCCUCUCACCUGGGGAGGUCAGUCAAGAAGGAGCAACUCUGGGACCGCAGCCCCUGCGCGAGUCCUGGCCGUGGGAUCGGAUGGAGCAGCCUUUGGCUUUCGUUUUCCGUGUUCGCCUCCUCGACCCCCUUUACUUACUGGGUCAUCGGGCUUUUCCUCGUGGACGGCUUCAAGCUCUCUGUAUGUUCGCGAGAUGGGCCCUGAGUCACAUCUUGCUGCUAUUUUUCCCCCCACUUUGUCACUUGUCCCUUGACUUUGUGGUUUGGGGCUUGUGUUUGGUCAGGCAGACAAUUUUAGUUUUUGUGUCAUCGGAC